UACAGGGGGUGCGAAACAGUUGCUCGGAAUCAUUGGGCGUAAAGCGCACGUAGGCGGUCUGUUAUGUCGGAUGUGAAAGCCCUUGGCUCAACUGAGGAAGUGCAUCCGAAACUGGCAGGCUAGAGUACUAAAGAGGAUCGCGGAAUUCCCGGUGUAGAGGUGAAAUUCGUAGAUAUCAGGAAGAACACCCGUGGCUAAGGCGGCUCUCUAGUACGUGACUGACGCUGAGACGCGGAAAGCGUGGGGAGCGAACAGG
rnacentral:rRNA from 1 species